CGUUCCCAUUUCUCUGCCCCUCUCCGCUCACUUUUCUCUCCCCCUCUCUCUCUCUAACCCUAGUAACUCCGGCGACUUUCACCACCAUUACUGCCGGUCACCCCGCGCCGCCGCCAUCCCUACCCAGCUGGAAAAAGACUACUUCUUCCAGAUCUCUCCCCCAUUUUCUACGCUCUCAAACUUUCUUCACUUCAUUUUCCCCAUAUCUCACGCCCUUCUCUUCUUCCAAUGCUCUCCACCUUCAUUUUCCAUCUUCUGGAUGGAAUCUCGUAAUUGGAUGUAUAAUAGGACAAACGAAAACCGAGGGGGGAUGAGGCAAGAAUUUGUAGACGGUGUCGAUGCUUUUGUUGGCUAUGCAAUGACACUUGAAACUUUUCUAAGUCAUGGCUUGGUUAGGUGCCCUUGUGUGAAAUGUCAAUGUAGGAAUUACGAGAAACCAGAGAUUGUUAGGCUUCGUCUCUAUAAAGACGGCUUGGUUAGGUGCCCUAGUAUAAUUAAAUUAUAUUUACCUUUGUAUAACAAUAUUUAUCUAUCAUUAUAAAGAUACAUUUUUUUGUAAAGUUACUUAUCUAACAGCAUUAUACAAAUACCUAUUACAGUAAUAACCAAAAAAUCUUCUAUUGAUUACUAGUAGUACUUAUAUUUAAUUGAAGACAUAACUUUAAAAAAAAAUUGUAAGUUCCAAUUAUGAGGAAUCUGAAACACCACAAGGCUACGUAACUCGAUCUUGGGAUUAUAACAGAUUAUAUCGAGGUGAUUAUAUAUAUUAGCCAGAUGAUUAUAACUUGUGAAGUAAAAUUAAAAUUCUUGUGUCACAGUUAAAGUUUAUAAUGUACUAUAACCACGUAACAAGUAAAACUAAAAUCCUUGUGUCACAGUUAAGUUUAUAAUGUACUACAACCACUCAAAUGUACGUAGCCAUCGAAACAAAUAUACUAUUACUAUGAGAGUAUAUACAUAUAUUUAGAUAUAUUAUACAGAAAAAACACACAAAUUGAUCAUGCAUGAAUUUAAACUGGAAUAAAUAUGCUCUGUUUGGUUUUUCUGGUGUAUGUAAUGUGCACAUUAUAUUUAUCUCAUGGUAUAAAAACAAUUACCUAUACCUAUAGAACAACAUAACUGGCUGCCAUUGACCUACAAGCCUUAGAAAAGUAUGCUCUGUUUGGUAAUGCUGCAAAUUGAAUCAGUUGGUAUUUUUAAACUCUUAAAAGAAAAUGGAAUUAAUAAAAAACAAUUAAGGCAAACUUGACAAUUAGGCACACUCUUCCUACUUCCUACUACUAUAAAUAUGUGAAUGUAGGAGCUUAAGAUUCCACAUCAAGCAGUGCUAAGCCAUUUCAAAUCCUUUCUCAACAGCCUUCUGAACAUCAGCAGCUGCCAUUGCACCAUAAACAAUCUCUGUCACUGGUACAAAUGUCUUCUUGACCUUUUUCUUGAGAGCUUCAACCUGUAAGAAAAUGAAAACAAUAAAUGCUAAACUUUACCGUCACCUUUGAGCUAGCACACUGAAGCAGAAGAAUAUUGGUUAUUACCCCAAUAUUAAUUAAGCACAAAAGCACUACACUGAUGCCCUUUAAGGAUUAAAAUACAAGUAAACACUAGGCCAUUCAUGUGUUCCAUACAGUACAUGCAUAAAUAAAAUCUUGACAAUUUGAAUAGCUGCAUAGUUUGAUGUAUAACACUCAAGUAUGACUGAUGGAGAAAGAGUGAUGUGUUACCUUACCAUCUGUCUCCAUUUGGACAGGUUUGUCUCCAGACUCUGGAACACCAUUGUCAGCCCCUGAAGCAGCUGCACCAUCCUGCAUAUUUACAUCAGUUUCUGAUGUAGUUGAAGGAGCAGCUGAAGCUUCAUCUGUUUCCAUUUUGGCAGGUUCCUUAGCUGUCUCUUUUACUUUUGUUGUAAUUAUGUGAUUUGUGGUUGGAUCUGUUUAGGUUCUUUUUCUCUACCAUUAUUCAGGGUAGUAAUUGAUUGGUAACUACUACUUAUGUUAUAAAGUUAACAUCUUUAUAUAACUCUAUGUUUCUAUUGGGUCCUAAUAAAACUGUCAAAAAGAGAAUAGGUUCUUUGUCUCUUCCAAUUUUCAGGUUAGUAAUUGAUUGGUAACUAACUAUGUUAUAAAGUUUCCAUCUUUAUAUAACUCUAUGCUUCUAUUGGUUCCUAAUAAAACUGUGAAAUAGAGAAAUAGGUUCUUUGUCUUUUCCAAUAUUCAGGUGAUUACUAACUAUAUUAUGUAUUCCUUGUGAUAAAGUUUCCAUCUUUAUAUAACUCUAUGUUUCUAUUAGGUCCUAAUAAAACUGUCAAUAAGAGAAUAGGUUCUUUGUCUCUUCCAAUAUUCAGGUGAUUACUAGCAAUAUUAUGUAUUCCUUGUGAUAAAGUUUCCAUCUUUAUAUAACUUUAUGCUUCUGGUGGGUCCUAUUGUCGUAAUAAAACUGUGAAGAAAAUAAAUUGGUUUGGGGAAAAGAGAAUGAAUAAAGAAAUCAUAUCGUUGGACUUUGUUCUGUAAUUAGCUUGAUUUUGGUGUUUUCAAUCUGCACUGUGCUAGAAUUUGUUCUCAUUGAUUCAGACGAUCCAUAAUGUUACUGGUAAUAUAGUUCUUCCAAAUUUGUUCUCUUGUUAGUAUCUGUUGCGUUUUGUUGAGGGAUUUGACUGUUUCUUGGUUUCCGGACAUGAUUGUUUUUAGUGCUGUUGUUCGCUCAUGGUUCUCGAUUGAAAUGAAAGUGGCUCGAACGGGCCGGAGUAUGUGGUGGAUUCAAUUUCCAUUUUUUGGACAGGUGGGGUAAAUUUUAUUCACAUUAUAGCACUAGCAGGGAGCUACAAAAUUACAAAGUAGAUGGUAAUAUCCUCUCUUCAGCUAAGCAGAAAGUCUAUGAACUCCAUCAUGACGUCCAAAUCAUAAACAGCACUACACAGAUGCCCUUUAAGGAUUAAAAUACAAGUAAACACUAGGCCAUUCAUGUGUUCCAUACAGUACAUGCAUAAAUAAAAUCCUGACAAUUUGAAUAGCUGCAUAGUUUGAUGUAUAACACUCAAGUAUGACUGAUGGAGAAAGAGUGAUGUGUUACCUUACCAUCUGUCUCCAUUUGGACAGGUUUGUCUCCAGACUCCAGAACACCGUUGUCAGCCCCUGAAGCAGCUGCACCAUCCUGCAUAUUCCUUCUGACCUUUUGUUUUAGUUAUUACGUGCUUGAUUAAUUGGAUUCUCUGCUUCAUUUCACUUGCCCUUAUUUGUGAAAUUGCAUACUGUUAUCCCUCCUUAAAGAAUAAUAGGUGCUCUCUUCAGGUGUGCCAACCGGGAAGGCUGUUGUUAUGCAGAUAUGUGGUGACAAGGUUAAUUGCUAUGUUUUGCAUAUUAUCCACUCUGGAAUCCCCCAAAACUCUGCAAUCUCUUCUUGAGGAUCCAACUGUUGUGAAGGUGGGUGUUGGCAUUGCAAAUGAUGCCUUACAAGGUUUACCGAGAUCAUAAUGUCUCUGUAAAGACUUCGGAAGAUCUGUCUGAACUCGCCAACAAAAAGCUUGAUGAUCCCAAGAAGUGGGGUCUAACAUCACUAACUGAGAAGCUUCUUGCCAAGCAGAUGGCAGGUGAAAAAAGGGGUAAGAAAACAAAGAAGGCUAAGGAGACGGGGUUUCCCAGAGACCACCACAAAACCUUGUGAUUAGAGAUAGAAGCCCGUCGCCACGUCUCCCACCACGCGGUGCUCCAUUGCCUUAUGAUCCCCUCAUGUGCUGAUGAUGCUCGUAACCCCCAUACUCAAUCUAGUGGUGCGGAUGAUGAUGGGACUCACGUGUCAAACACACAAAGGCAUGUUUGAAUGUUAAUGUUGUGGUGGAUUUGCGGAUUGUGUAAGUGUUUUGUGGAUAUUUGCGAGGGGUGAAGUAGUCUAGUGUUGUAGACUAACUUAGUGUAGAUUAGUUUAAUGUUUUGUGGAUGUUUGUAAAGGUUGAAGUAGUUUAAUGUCUCUUUUGAAUGUUUGAAUGACGUUUUGAUUCAACUUUGAAGUAGUUUCGAAUUGAAUUUGAUGUAUUGGUGGUUGUAGUAUAUGUGUUUGUUGAAGUAAUUUAAUGUUUUAUGUA